AAUUGAUACUACAACAAAAGGCCCAUUGGGAAAUGGUUUUGCAGCUUUAUUAAUUGGCCUUUCUUCUGCUUCUAAACAAGGUCUUUUUGUACUUCCAGGUGUUAUUGAUGCUGAUUACAAAGGAAUUGUCAAAAUUAUGUUAAAAGUUCCAGCAAAAAGCAGUAGAGAAAGGUUGGGUGGAUUUGGAAGCACUGGUCCUCUCAUGGCAUUUUCUGAAAUGUUGUCAGCUAAAAGACCUACACGACAGGUGGUAUUAUGUAUGAAAGAAAAUGGUGAGAGUGCGAGUGAAAUUCAAUUGCAGGCGGAAAUGAUGAUGGACACAGGUGCAGAUGUUACUAUUGUGCAUCUUUCAGCUUGGCCAGAGUCCUGGCCUCUAGUCAAAUUAACUGAAACACUAUUGGGUGUUGCGGGAGUUACAUCUACUUGGCAGAGUAAAAAUUCUAUUGUCAUUCUAGACCAGGAAGGUAACAAAGCAGUUACUCGUCCAUAUGUGUUAGAUACUCCUUUGUGGUUGCUAGGCUGUGAUGUUCUUAGCCAAUGGAAAAUGGUCCUUACUGUACAGCCUUUUUAGGAGCGGCCACUGAGAAAAUAGGUGCUCACUCUUGUAUUAAAUUAUCCUGGAAAUCUGAUGACCCUGUAUGGGUAGCUCAGUGGCCAUUGCCAAAUCAAAAGCUAGAGCACCUUCAAGAAUUAGUACAGGAACAGAUGGAACAAGGACAUAUUCGGCCUUCUCACAGCCCUUGGAAUACACCUGUGUUUGUGAUUCAAAAGAAGUCAGGAAAAUGGAGAUUUUUGCAUGAUUUGAGAGCAGUAAAUGACCAAAUGCAAGCACUCGGAGCUUUACAACCUGGCCUUCCCUCUCCUAGUGCCAUCCCAAAAAAUUAUCAUUUGUUUAUAGUAGAUAUAAAGGAUUGUUUUUUCAGCAUACCAUUACAUCCAGAUGAUACCUGUAGGUUUGCCUUUUCAGUACCUUCUGUAAAUAAUAGUCAUCCUGCAAAACGAUAUGAGUGGGUUGUCCUUCCACAAGGAAUGAAGAAUAGUCCUACUAUUUGUCAGUGGUAUGUUG